rnacentral:rRNA from 1 species
CUCGUAGGCGGUUCGUCGCGUCCGGUGUGAAAGUCCAUCGCUUAACGGUGGAUCCGCGCCGGGUACGGGCGGUCUUGAGUGCGGUAGGGGAGACUGGAAUUCCCGGUGUAACGGUGGAAUGUGUAGAUAUCGGGAAGAACACCAAUGGCGAAGGCAGGUCUCUGGGCCGUUACUGACGCUGAGGAGCGAAAGCGUGGGGAGCGAACA